rnacentral:rRNA from 1 species
UACGUAGGGUCCGAGCGUUGUCCGGAAUUACUGGGCGUAAAGAGCUCGUAGGUGGUUUGUCGCGUUGUCCGUGAAAACUCACAGCUUAACUGUGGGCGUGCGGGCGAUACGGGCAGACUGGAGUACUGCAGGGGAGACUGGAAUUCCUGGUGUAGCGGUGGAAUGCGCAGAUAUCAGGAGGAACACCGGUGGCGAAGGCGGUUCUCUGGGCAUGAUCUGACGCUGAGGAGCGAAAGUGUGGGGAGCGAACAGG